GUCCAAACAAAGCAAAAAGAGAGAUAAACAAUCCAAUUAACUGCUUGUAGCAUUUACAACACAAUCAUCCACAAGAGAAGGUGGAAUUUGGAGACAGGGGUGAAAGGUCAGAUUGCUGCAUAUUUCCUACUUUAAUCAGUCUUAUUACAUAAUUUUAAAAUCUGGCAAAUGCUUUAUUAAGUAGGCACUGAUAAUUAAUAAUAUAGUUCCUAGCAGAUCAUUAUAUAAUGCUACAAUUCAAUGUAAAUGUGAUUAGCAUUUAGUCUUGAAUACCAGAUACAAUAGUCAGCACUGUCAGAGCUUGUUAUCAUCACAACGUUUGUGCACUAUCUUUGGAUAUCUUUCUAGUUCAGACUCCUUGCUUUACAGAUGAAACAAUGGAGGAUUACAGGGUGUCUUAGUCCAUCUGGGCUGCUAUAACAAAAUUCUAUAGGCUGGGUAGCUUACAAGCAAUAAAGAUUUGUCUCUCAUAGUUCUGGAGGCUGGUAAGGCCAAGGUCACAGCCCCUGCAGAUUCCGUGUCUGGUGAAGGCUGCUGUCUCAGAGAUGGCACUUUCUCACGGCAUCCUCAAGGUGGAAGAAGCAAGGCAGCUCUCUGGGACCUCUUUUACAAGGACACUAAUGCCCUUCAUGAGGGCUCUGCCUUUAUGAGCUACUCAUCUCCCAAAGUCCCCGCCUCUUACUACCAUCACCUUGGGGCUUAGGAUUUCAAGGUAUUGAUGUUAGGGGAACAUAGACAUUCAGACUAGAGCAAAGGGGUUCCGCGAAUAGUGACCAAAGUCAAACAGUGAGUACUUCUUCCUUUCCUUUUUCCCCCUGAAAUCCCAGUCUCUCUACCACGCACCUCAUGGAAAAGACUAGAGCCUCCGUGCAUGCCUCUCUCCUAUCACUGCCCAGGACAUCUCUAGUAUCACCCAAACUGUAAGAAUCUAGUGCUUGGGCAACAUAACAAGAUCUCAUCUCUACAAAAAAAUAAAAUUAGCCUGGCAUGGUGGUGCGUGCCUAUAGUCUCAGCCACUGGGGAGGCCGAGGCAGGCAGAUUGCUUGAGGCCAGGAGUUUGAGGAUACAGUUGCAUGAUGGCAUCACAGCACCCUGGCCUGGGUGAUAGAGAGAUCCUGUCUCUAAAAAAAAAACAAAAUCAAGUAUAUCUUAAAACCCCUGGAGUUGCCAGCUGUUUCAGGCCAGCAGUACAUUAUGACAUAGUUUUAGGGAAGGGAUAGGGGAGGCAAGUGAGGGCCACCUUCAUCUUGGUCCUGUGUAUAUGAAAGAUGAAAUUCUAACAAUGGAAAAUAUAAAUGAAACCAAAUCAAGAGACUUAUUCUGAGCAAGCUAUGAAAAGUUAUUUUCCCAGGGCCAUAGAAAAAAACAGACAAAGGCUGGGUUUUCUGCCUGUCAUUGUCUUCGGGACAUGAGAUGGUGGUAGCAAUUACGGCAUCAGCUUUAAAGGAAGAAAGUGAUCUUACAGAGGCAGCUUUGAAAGGAGGAGCACAGACUGGCUCCUCAGGCCCCACAAGCAUUGCCGCUGCUGUCCCGGGAAGCUUCUCCGCCCCUUGCUCUUGCGCCACAUAAACUCACUCUGACCUCCGCUGCUUCUUCCCAGUGAUGCUGAGAACUCAAGUCAGUCUGAAGUUAACAAGAGUAAGACAAGGCACUACUCAAUCCAGGAAGAAUUCUCAUGUGAGGAUUGAAAUCUGCUGGAGAAACUGACUAGGAGAAAACUAUAAACUCACACACACCACAUCUUCCUUUCACGUCUACACACGUCCCUGCAUUUCUCUUCAAUUUGUUUACUUUGUUCUGCCUGAGUGCUUUACAUCAUAUGUGAGAGGGGAUCCUGAGAUUUUAUGAAGAUGCAGUUAGAUUUUACAUGCCCAAAUUUACCAAAAUGAGAGAUUAUUUUUUAAAGAGUUGCUAAAUAUUCCAAUACUUUUGGCUUCUUAAAUUUUUUCUCAAAUGCCCAGAGAGAAAAACAACAAUAAUAGUGAUAACAACCUAAAAUGACUUCAAAGGCACUUUUUCUCCACGCUAAGUAUUCUCAGAUCUGAGGAAGAUACUGAAAAAGGUGAGGACCAGAGACAGACAUGGAUGCCUUCUCUCAGAACUUGGAACUGAUGAAGUUGAUGUGACAUCUUCGAAAACAGCCCCCAAAUGGGUCCUUUUGGAGCAGUGAAGAAGGCCCCUCGGCCCCCUUAACGACCUCCCUCCCUGUGUAUUUUUUAGUCUUCACAUAAGCCCGAUUCUCCUCUGGCACCACUGAAACAUCCUUCUGAGUCACUUUCUGAACAUGCUGGCACCCAGUGUAGGCACAAUGACAUCAUGGGAAUGCUGUAUUGCUAAGUACGAUUUUGUCGUAUUUCAAAUGUCAGCACGUUUUGAUGUGUAGGUGGUUCAAAGAAUGGAUACAUAUUC
rnacentral:lncRNA from 10 species